UAACUCCUCAUCAUGCAUGAACUGGAGGAUCUCUGUACCUUAGAAGUUGAGCUGUGCAGAGCCCAACUCAGCUGUAAGCAAAGUCAAGGAAUCUCAUGGGGUACAUCUUAAACUGCAGAACCCAGGAGCGCUUCCACCGUGCUCCCAAGUCUAGACACACAUCUUUUGGGUGUGCACCAACUUCUCUUGCCUCACCCACUUCUCCACUCUCUGGUUUCAUGGGAAAUAAACUCAGGCCAAAAGACAAGCAUGACACAUUCCUCCAGAGCCUCAAGCAAAGAAAAGGAGCCAUGCAAUGCCCCCACUUUCAGACUGACCUCUGGCAAUCCUAUGUCCUGAUGGAAUAACAACAUCAUGUGCUCACGUCCAAACACCUGACAUGCACCGAUUUUCCAAAAGUAAAAGUAUGUGGCAAGGGAAUCUGGCCCUCCAUCAAACCCUAUUGCUUCUAUCUUUUGGAGAGAUGACAAACUUCUAUUGACAGAAGGAGAAUUGAAACAAGUCCUUUCCAAUUUGCAGUUUCACACUUUUACAGGAAUAUGCUAACCAGAGUUUGCUGAAAAUAAAAUGGAAAGUGAUGCGGAAGCUCAAGGAACUUCACGUGCUAUAUUCAAAGCCAGACUGUGAGCGGAUUUCUUGAAAUACCAAAUUUAAACUGUAAAGAAGCUGUCAGAAUGCAUCACAUAUGAACACAGAAGGAUGUUACAGGCUGCAGGGAGAUGAAUAUCUAUGAUAAGGAAAACAACUCAACUGGCAUGUGGAGGAACGCUUGAAGCCUCCUUUGUUAUGACUACAGUGAAAAUACACAUCUAUUUUUCCUAGGAUAACAAAGUGUUCAUUCUAGAUCCUGCUUGGAGCUGUUGGGCAUUUACAGCGUGUUAUUAGCAACUGUACAAAUGUCUCGUGUUUUUGAAAAAUCAAAGGAAUUAGUGAGUAAGGAGAAUUAAUACCUUUCCUGUAGCCUUGCCCCAGGAUUUGCUUAGGUGUUUUCCUUUAAGGAGUCCCUGAAUAAAAAAUGUAAUCUAUGCUGGAAUCAAGGCCUGGCGCCUGAGACCUCCAUCUUGCAGGGGAGCACCUCUAUAAUUAAGAUACAAAGUUGUGGCUCCUGUUGUUGCUCGGGGUCUUGUUGGCUAGCUGAUUCUUCUGUGCUUUUUUGCCCAGUGGGCCCUGCUGCAGGAGGGAAGGCUCGUGCUGCAUGGCCUCUUAGCUCCUGCAUAAGGAGCUCUUCUUCGAGAAGAAGGGAGCUUCAGGCUUGAACGGUAU